AUUACUGGGUAACUGCUGAGCAUCUCCCGCAGAACAGUUUAGCAGACUUGGGCAUUUAGAGGAUUGUGCUGGAGAUCAAAAGGGUCGGAGAUCCCUUUACCAAUUAACAGCAGGGAGAAGAACAUCAAAUAAGGUGUAAAUUUCAGCUCUGCAGUUUUGAGUAAGUCAAGCAUGAAAUGCAUUCUAAUACUCUUGAGUAGCUGCAGCUUUGAGCCAUCAGUGAUGUCACUGGUGCAUUAAAGGGAGCUUAAUCGCACUUGGAGUGGCAUGGAGCAGUCCUACCCAGUUAGGUGCUAAAGCCGGUGUCAUGACUGUCUGAUAACAUGGGAACAACAGUCCUCGAUGCAACUGACAAAGAACAGGAAAAGAAAACCAACUGCCAAAAUGUGGAAAUUCUCUGAAUGACCACUCACUCAAUAGUAUGGAAUCCACAGAAGCUAUGAAAUACGAGGAGUGACCAUUGCAGAUACAAUGUCUUUUUCUCCAGAACAAGUCAAUGCAGAUGUAAGUAAAUGACAGUUAAUUACAAAUUACAUUCUGGCCAGGGCUGUCGGGACCCCCUGGCAUGAAUAAUAAUCAGACCCUCAGGCGCUCACCUGCCUGCAAACGAACAUACGGAGGCUCAGGCUGGAGUUUCAAAACAAGCUGCUGUACACAAAAGCUUAUUGGAUUACAGAGAUUUAGGAGAAAGAGAGAGAGAGAGAGAGAGUGAGUGAGUGAGUGAGUGAGCGAGAGACAGAAAACACACAGAGCCCUGUCAGCAACUCCACUAGAAGGUGCAAGAGGCAUCCUGAAAAGUUGCACAGAGAGAGGAGAAUGUAUUUUCUUUUUGAUUUUUCUGCUCUAUGGAAGUGUAUGGUAGUGUAUGAUAUUUUUCCUGUUUUAAAGAUGAAUAAAGGAAAGAAUAAAA